UACGUAGGGUGCAAGCGUUAAUCGGAAUUACUGGGCGUAAAGCGUGCGCAGGCGGUUUUGUAAGUCAGAUGUGAAAUCCCCGGGCUUAACCUGGGAACUGCGUUUGAAACUACAAGGCUAGAGUGUGGCAGAGGGGGGUGGAAUUCCACGUGUAGCAGUGAAAUGCGUAGAGAUGUGGAGGAACACCGAUGGCAAGGCAGCCCCCUGGGUUAACACUGACGCUCAGGCACGAAAGCGUGGGGAGCAAACAGG
rnacentral:rRNA from 1 species